rnacentral:tRNA from 1 species
CAAAAUUUAAUUUAUGAAAAAUAUUAGCUUUGGAAGUUGGAAAAAAGUGGAUAACUUAAUUUUGA